rnacentral:rRNA from 1 species
CCUGGCGGCCAUAGCGGCGGUGAACCACCCGACACCAUCCCGAACUCGGCCGUGAAACCCGCCUGCGCCAAUGGUACUGCGUUGCAAGGACGUGGGAGAGUAGGUCGCCGCCAGGU